AUUCCGUUUUUCUUACGUUUUACUUAGGUUUUUCUGAUAUUAUGAAAACUGCUUGGAAAAUCAAAAAAUGACAAUCCUAAAGUACAAUCUAGUUAAUAUGAUAUUAUUUUCUUUCAAAAAAGGUGUAACACUUACAUAUUGAAGCAAGAUUUCUGGUUGACAUUUUUAUCACAGUAAAAAAAAAAAAAUCAUUGUAAAUCUAACAGGUACAUUUUUCGCCACAUUCAGACCCUAAAAUUUAAACUAAAGUAAUCACUUCCAACUUUGAUUCUAAAAAUAUAUUAUUUUAUUAUAUCUUUGCAAAUUGAUUGUUUCCACUUAGUUUUCCAUAAUUCUAUCUCACUCUUGAGAGAAUAUUUAUUGAAAUUUAUAAAUGAGAAUUAUACCCUCAUGUGCUGUCUCAGUCCAACGGGAAAUUUAGCAAUAUCUACCUUACGCAUACUGCGUAGAACUCGCUUAAUUUUGAUUUUAGAGUAAUAUUAAAAUAGGCUAAUAUUUCGGUUAGGAAAGUGAUGCUUUUCUUUUUAAAAUUCAUUUUUUGAAAUGUUACAAUCAUUUAAAAAUGAUAAAUUAGUCUUAAUUUUUAAAGGAUGUAUUGAACCUUAUACUCGGAAUGUGGUUAGAAUUAUAAGAAAAACGUAACGUCUUGUUCUUCGAAAUAUGGUUUUCUUUUAAUUUUAAAUUAGAUGAUUUUUAUUAUAAAACCAAAAUUAAGUAAGUUCUAUUCAGUUUGUGUAAGGUAGAUUUUGCUAUAAGGCCCAUAAGUUAUGCCAUUGGACAGAACAUGCGAAGAAUAUGACGUCAUCUUAACUUACAGAUGGAGUUUCCUUCACUACGGUAUUGGAAAAAAAACAAGAAAUGCCUGGUUAAAACCGCGUUUACCAUAGUAUAUAUUGCUUUCUUCGUUAUCAUUGUCCUCAACAUCCGAAUCACAACUAUAUACCUAAAUCUAAACUUGGUUGAAAUUAGUAAUAUGUGAUCAUAUUAUUAUGUAAAUAAAAUCUGUAAUUAUUUUUAUAAUAAUAUAAAAUAAUUUAUAUAAUAAUAAUAACGUUUUAUAUGUUAAUGUAUAUCUGUACACACCGAUUAAACAUUGCUAACGAAAACUAUUCUGAGCGAAGUUUGGUUGAUAAUGUUGCUUUUUCAAUAAUAUAUUAUAUGUUAUAUUAUGGUAAAAUAAUUAAAUAUGCAUUAAAUAUUUGUUUAAUAUUGUGCUUUUUUCUCAUUUUUCAGUUUUCCUACGUUUUUUCCCGGUUCUCUCAAUUCAUUAAUUUAUUAGGAAAACUCCUGGAAAAAUCAAAAAAUGACCUCCUUAAAGUACCUCCCCAGUCAGAUUUCCUCUUAGAAAAAGUACUAUCAUUGUACAUCUGAGCAAAAUUGUUAGAAGAAAAGUUAUACAAGGAAAAAAAAUAAUAUAUAAACAGCAUUGUAAAACCAUACGUUUCUUCGCUCCAUUCAAAAUCUAAAAAAAAUAUAUAUCACUGUAAAACCAAUACAUUCCCCACUCCGCUCAGAAUCUAAAAUUGUUCUGUCCUGCAUCACCAUUAGUUAAUUUAAGCUACAAGGCUAAAGGAUUUUAUUUAUUUUCUUGGCUAAUGUAAAUUCGACUUGAAAUUAAUUUUUCACUGGUGGUGCCAUGGUGGGGUUGCCAUGUUAACCAAAUUAUUCUCCUCUUACAAUUUUUCCAAUAGUUUUUCCUCAAACUCAUUUUGUUAUAUAACUCGAGUACGUUUUUAUUAGUUAUUGAACUGUGUUGGUUUUUCUAAAAUAACUUCUGUAAUUACUUAAAUUAUAUUAGUAAAUUUCUUC